rnacentral:rRNA from 1 species
GGCUCAGGAUGAACGCUGGCGGCGUGCUUAACACAUGCAAGUCGAACGAUGAAGCCCAGCUUGCUGGGUGGAUUAGUGGCGAACGGGUGAGUAACACGUGAGUAACCUGCCCUUAACUCUGGGAUAAGCCUGGGAAACUGGGUCUAAUACCGGAUAGGAGCGUCCACCGCAUGGUGGGUGUUGGAAAGAUUUAUCGGUUUUGGAUGGACUCGCGGCCUAUCAGCUUGUUGGUGAGGUAAUGGCUCACCAAGGCGACGACGGGUAGCCGGCCUGAGAGGGUGACCGGCCACACUGGGACUGAGACACGGCCCAGACUCCUACGGGAGGCAGCAGGGGGAAUAUUGCACAAUGGGCGAAAGCCUGAUGCAGCGACGCCGCGUGAGGGAUGACGGCCUUCGGGUUGUAAACCUCUUUCAGUAGGGAAGAAGCGAAAGUGACGGUACCUGCAGAAGAAGCACCGGCUAACUACGUGCCAGCAGCCGCGGUAAUACGUAGGGUGCGAGCGUUAUCCGGAAUUAUUGGGCGUAAAGAGCUCGUAGGCGGUUUGUCGCGUCUGUCGUGAAAGUCCGGGGCUUAACCCCGGAUCUGCGGUGGGUACGGGCAGACUAGAGUGCAGUAGGGGAGACUGGAAUUCCUGGUGUAGCGGUGGAAUGCGCAGAUAUCAGGAGGAACACCGAUGGCGAAGGCAGGUCUCUGGGCUGUAACUGACGCUGAGGAGCGAAAGCAUGGGGAGCGAACAGGAUUAGAACCCCUGGUAGUCCAUGCCGUAAACGUUGGGCACUAGGUGUGGGGACCAUUCCACGGUUUCCGCGCCGCAGCUAACGCAUUAAGUGCCCCGCCUGGGGAGUACGGCCGCAAGGCUAAAACUCAAAGGAAUUGACGGGGGCCCGCACAAGCGGCGGAGCAUGCGGAUUAAUUCGAUGCAACGCGAAGAACCUUACCAAGGCUUGACAUGUUCCCGAUCGCCGUAGAGAUACGAUUUCCCCUUUGGGGCGGGUUCACAGGGUGGUGCAUGGUUUGUCGUUCAGCUCGUGUCGUGAGAUGUUGGGUUAAGUCCCGCAACGAGCGCAACCCUCGUUUCCAUGUUGCCAGCACGUAAUGGUGGGGACUCAUGGGAGACUGCCGGGGUCAACUCGGAGGAGGUGAGGACGACGUCAAAUCAUCAAUGCCCCUUAUGUCUUGGGCUUCACGCAUGCUACAAUGCCGGUACAAUGGGUUGCGAUACUGUGAGGUGGAGCUAAUCCCAAAAAGCCGGUCUCAGUCGGAUUGGGGUCUGCAACUCGACCCCAUGAAGUCGGAGUCGCUAGUAAUCGCAGAUCAGCAACGCUGCGGUGAAUACGUUCCCGGGCCUUGUACACACCGCCCGUCA